AAACUUUCAACAACGGAUCUCUUGGUUCUGGCAUCGAUGAAGAACGCAGCGAAAUGCGAUAAGUAAUGUGAAUUGCAGAAUUCAGUGAAUCAUCGAAUCUUUGAACGCACAUUGCGCCCUCUGGUAUUCCGGGGGGCACACCUGUUCGAGCGUCAUUA
rnacentral:rRNA from 1 species